rnacentral:rRNA from 1 species
AAAGGAAUAGACGGGGGCCCGCACAAGCGGAGGAACAUGUGGUUUAAUUCGAUGAUACGCGAGGAACCUUACCCGGGCUUGAAAUGCAGAAGACGGACUUGGAAACAGGUCUUCCAGCAAUGGCUUCUGUGUAGGUGCUGCAUGGUUGUCGUCAGCUCGUGCCGUGAGGUGUCGGCUUAAGUGCCAUAACGAGCGCAACCCUUGCCAUUAGUUACUAACAGGUAGCGCUGAGGACUCUAAUGGGACUGCCACCGCAAGGUGUGAGGAAGGUGGGGAUGACGUCAAAUCAGCACGGCCCUUACGUCCGGGGCGACACACGUGUUACAAUGGGGGGGACAGAAAGUUGCUAAGCGGCGACGCAGCGCUAAUCUCCAAACCCUCUCUCAGUUCGGAUCGGAGUCUGCAACUCGACUCCGUGAAGCUGGAUUCGCUAGUAAUCGCGCAUCAGCCAUGGCGCGGUGAAUACGUUCCCGGGCCUUGUACACACCGCCCGU